rnacentral:rRNA from 1 species
GACGAACGCUGGCGGCGUGCCUAAUACAUGCAAGUAGGACGCAGUUGCGAACGGGUGAGUAACGCGUAGGUAACUGCCUAUUAGAGGGGGAUAACUAUUGGAAACGAUAGCUAAUACCGCAUACUAGUAGAUGGACCUGCGUUGUAUUAGCUAGUAGGUAGGGUAAUGGCCUACCUAGGCGACGGUACAUAGCCGACCUUGGGGGGAGAUCGGCCACAACGGGAAUGGAGACAGGGCCAAACUCCUUCGGGAGGCAGCAGGAGGGAAACUUCGGAAAUGGGGGGAAACCUGACCGAGCAACGGCGCGUGGGUGAAGAAGGUUUUCGGGUUGUAAAGCUCUGUUGUUAAGGAAGCGGUACCUAACCAGAAAGGGACGGCUAACUACGUGCCAGCAGCCGCGGUAAUUC